GGAAUCUUCGGCAAUGGACGAAAGUCUGACCGAGCAACGCCGCGUGAGUGAAGAAGGUUUUCGGAUCGUAAAACUCUGUUGUUAGAGAAGAACAAGGGUGAGAGUAACUGUUCACCCCUUGACGGUAUCUAACCAGAAAGCCACGGCUAACUACGUACCAG
rnacentral:rRNA from 1 species